rnacentral:rRNA from 1 species
UAGUCAUAUGCUUGUCCUAAAGAUUAAGCCAUGCAUGUCCAAGUAUAAACCUUUAUACGGUGAAACUGCGAAUGGCUCAUUAUAUCAGUUAUAAUUUACAUGAUGAUGACUUGCUACAUGGAUAACCGUGGUAAUUCUAGAGCUAAUACAUGCAAAGGGCCCGCGAGGGUGGCAUUUAUUAGAUGGAACCAGCGAAAGAUGGUGAAUCAUGAUAACUGAGCGGAUCGCAUGGCCUCGAGCUGGCGACGCUUCAUUCAAAUUUCUGCCCUAUCAACUUUGGAUGGUAGGAUAGAGGCCUACCAUGGUGGUGACGGGUGACGGGGAAUUGGGGUUCGAUUCCGGAGAGGGAGCCUGAGAGAUGGCUACCACUUCCAAGGAAGGCAGCAGGCGCGCAAAUUACCCAAUCCCGACACGGGGAGGUAGUGACAGUAAAUAACGAUGCGGGGCCGUAUGGUCUUGCAAUUGGAAUGAGAGGAAUGUAAAUGCGUUAGCGAGUAACGAUU